rnacentral:rRNA from 1 species
AUUGAACGCUGGCGGCAUGCUUUACACAUGCAAGUCGAACGGUAACAGGCCUUCGGGUGCUGACGAGUGGCGCACGGGUGAGUAAUGCAUCGGAACGUACCCAGAGGUGGGGGAUAACGCAGCGAAAGCUGUGCUAAUACCGCAUGUGAUCUGAGGAUGAAAGCGGGGGACCGAGCAGCAAUGUUUGGCCUCGCGCCUUUGGAGCGGCCGAUGUCGGAUUAGCUAGUUGGUGGGGUAAAGGCCUACCAAGGCGACGAUCCGUAGCUGGUCUGAGAGGACGACCAGCCACACUGGGACUGAGACACGGCCCAGACUCCUACGGGAGGCAGCAGUGGGGAAUUUUGGACAAUGGGCGCAAGCCUGAUCCAGCAACGCCGCGUGCGGGAAGAAGGCCUUCGGGUUGUAAACCGCUUUUGGCAGGAACGAAACGGUGUCCGCUAAUACCGGGCGCUAAUGACGGUACCUGCAGAAUAAGCACCGGCUAACUACGUG